rnacentral:rRNA from 1 species
UACAGAGGGUGCGAGCGUUAAUCGGAAUUACUGGGCGUAAAGCGUGCGUAGACGGUUAUUUAAGUCGGAUGUGAAAGCCCCGGGCUCAACCUGGGAAUUGCAUUCGAGACUGAAUAGCUAGGGUGCGGUAGAGGGAAGCGGAAUUUCCGGUGUAGCGGUGAAAUGCGCAGAUAUCAGGAAGAACACCAAUGGCGAAGGCAGCUCUCUGGGACGGUACUGACGCUGAGACGCGAAAGCGUGGGGAGCGAACAGG